GUGCUCACUUUGGCAACACAUAUUGCAAAACUGGAAUGAUCAGAGAUUAGCAUGGCCCCAUACAAGGAUGAUAUGCAAAUUCAUGAAGCAUUCCAGGUUUUU